GAUGAACGCUGGCGGCGUGCCUAAUACAUGCAAGUCGAGCGAAUGGAUUAAGAGCUUGCUCUUAUGAAGUUAGCGGCGGACGGGUGAGUAACACGUGGGUAACCUGCCCAUAAGACUGGGAUAACUCCGGGAAACCGGGGCUAAUAUCGGAUAACAUUUUGAACCGCAUGGUUCGAAAUUGAAAGGCGGCUUCGGCUGUCACUUAUGGAUGGACCCGCGUCGCAUUAGCUAGUUGGUGAGGUAACGGCUCACCAAGGCAACGAUGCGUAGCCGACCUGAGAGGGUGAUCGGCCACACUUGGACUGAGACACGGCCCAGACUCCUACGGGAGGCAGCAGUAGGGAAUCUUCCGCAAUGGACGAAAGUCUGACGGAGCAACGCCGCGUGAGUGAUGAAGGCUUUCGGGUCGUAAAACUCUGUUGUUAGGGAAGAACAAGUGCUAGUUGAAUAAGCUGGCACCUUGACGGUACCUAACCAGAAAGCCACGGCUAACUACGUGCCAGCCGCCGCCGUAA
rnacentral:rRNA from 1 species